rnacentral:rRNA from 1 species
AUUGAACGCUGGCGGCAGGCCUAACACAUGCAAGUCGAACGAGUGGCGGACGGGUGAGUAAUGUCUGGGAAACUGCCCGAUGGAGGGGGAUAACUACUGGAAACGGUAGCUAAUACCGCAUCCCAUCGGAUGUGCCCAGAUGGGAUCAGCUAGUAGGUGGGGUAAAGGCUCACCUAGGCGACGAUCCCUAGAUGGUCUGAGAGGGUGACCAUCCACACGGGAACUGAGACACGGUCCAGACUCCUACGGGAGGCAGCAGUGGGGAAUAUUGCACAAUGGGCGCAAGCCUGAUGCAGCCAUGCCGCGUGUAUGAAGAAGGCCUUCGGGUUGUAAAGUACUUUCAGCGAGGAGGCGUUACCCGCAGAAGAAGCACCGGCUAACGCCGUGCCAGCAGCAGCGGUAAUUC